rfam:Pythium ultimum DAOM BR144 ctg_1117875580914, whole genome shotgun sequence.
CGGAAGGUAGCAUAGUAUGGUUUAAUGCAUCUGUUUUGGGAACAGAAGAUCAAAGGUUCGAAUCCUUUUCUUCCGA